rnacentral:rRNA from 1 species
AACGAACGCUGGCGGAAUGCUUUACACAUGCAAGUCGAACGGCAGCACGGACUUCGGUCUGGUGGCGAGUGGCGAACGGGUGAGUAAUACAUCGGAACGUGCCCAGUCGUGGGGGAUAACGUAGCGAAAGCUACGCUAAUACCGCAUACGAUCUAAGGAUGAAAGCGGGGGAUCGCAAGACCUCGCGCGAUUGGAGCGGCCGAUGGCAGAUUAGGUAGUUGGUGGGGUAAAGGCUCACCAAGCCGACGAUCUGUAGCUGGUCUGAGAGGACGACCAGCCACACUGGGACUGAGACACGGCCCAGACUCCUACGGGAGGCAGCAGUGGGGAAUUUUGGACAAUGGGCGCAAGCCUGAUCCAGCCAUUCCGCGUGCAGGAUGAAGGCCCUCGGGUUGUAAACUGCUUUUGUACGGAACGAAAAGGCUCUGGUUAAUACCUGGGGCUCAUGACGGUACCGUAAGAAUAAGCACCGGCUAACUACGUGCCAGCCGCCGCCGUAACAC